AUCGCUUCUCGGCCUAAUGGCUAAGAUCAAGUGUAGUAUCUGUUCUUGAUUUUAAGCCGAGACAGCGAUUUAAAAAGUGAUAAAGUAUUUUAUUUAGUGAUUAUUUAGGAGUUUUGGUGUAUUUACUGGAUUUUACGAUAUGAUCUCAAACAUCAAAGAGACCGCCGUAAAUCUCGUUGAUAUAAUGCAA